rnacentral:rRNA from 1 species
CAUGCAGGCGGUUAGACAAGUCAGGUGUGAAAUCCCCGCGCUUAACUUGGGAAUUGCAUUCGAUACUGGUUAGCUAGAGUAUGGGAGAGGAUGGUAGAAUUCCAGGUGUAGCGGUGAAAUGCGUAGAGAUCUGGAGGAAUACCGAUGGCGAAGGCAGCCAUCUGGCCUAAUACUGACACUGAGGUGCGAAAGCAUGGGGAGCAAACAGGAUUAGAUACCCUUGUA